rnacentral:rRNA from 1 species
UACGGAGGGGCCUAGCGUUGUUCGGAAUCAUUGGGCGUAAAGGGCGCGUAGGCGGCCGAUCAAGUCGGAGGUGAAAUCCCUCGGCUCAACUGAGGAAUUGCCUUCGAUACUGUUCGGCUUGAGUCCUGGAGAGGGUAGCGGAAUUCCCGGUGUAGCGGUGAAAUGCGUAGAGACCGGGAAGAACACCAGUGGCGAAGGCGGCUACCUGGACAGGUACUGACGCUGAAGCGCGAAAGCUAGGGGAGCAAACAGG